rnacentral:rRNA from 1 species
GUAUCCUGUCUGAAUAUGGGGGGACCAUCCUCCAAGGCUAAAUACUCCUGACUGACCGAUAGUGAACCAGUACCGUGAGGGAAAGGCGAAAAGAACCCCGGCGAGGGGAGUGAAAAAGAACCUGAAACCGUGUACGUACAAGCAGUGGGAGCACGCUUAGGCGUGUGACUGCGUACCUUUUGUAUAAUGGGUCAGCGACUUAUAUUCUGUAGCAAGGUUAACCGAAUAGGGGAGCCGAAGGGAAACCGAGUCUUAACUGGGCGUUAAGUUGCAGGGUAUAGACCCGAAACCCGGUGAUCUAGCCAUGGGCAGGUUGAAGGUUGGGUAACACUAACUGGAGGACCGAACCGACUAAUGUUGAAAAAUUAGCGGAUGACUUGUGGCUGGGGGUGAAAGGCCAAUCAAACCGGGAGAUAGCUGGUUCUCCCCGAAAGCUAUUUAGGUAGCGCCUCGUGAAUUCAUCUCCGGGGGUAGAGCACUGUUUCGGCAAGGGGGUCAUCCCGACUUACCAACCCGAUGCAAACUGCGAAUACCGGAGAAUGUUAUCACGGGAGACACACGGCGGGUGCUAACGUCCGUCGUGAAGAGGGAAACAACCCAGACCGCCAGCUAAGGUCCCAAAGUCAUGGUUAAGUGGGAAACGAUGUGGGAAGGCCCAGACAGCCAGGAUGUUGGCUUAGAAGCAGCCAUCAUUUAAAGAAAGCGUAAUAGCUCACUGGUCGAGUCGGCCUGCGCGGAAGAUGUAACGGGGCUAAACCAUGCACCGAAGCUGCGGCAGCGACGCUUAUGCGUUGUUGGGUAGGGGAGCGUUCUGUAAGCCUGCGAAGGUGUGCUGUGAGGCAUGCUGGAGGUAUCAGAAGUGCGAAUGCUGACAUAAGUAACGAUAAAGCGGGUGAAAAGCCCGCUCGCCGGAAGACCAAGGGUUCCUGUCCAACGUUAAUCGGGGCAGGGUGAGUCGACCCCUAAGGCGAGGCCGAAAGGCGUAGUCGAUGGGAAACAGGUUAAUAUUCCUGUACUUGGUGUUACUGCGAAGGGGGGACGGAGAAGGCUAUGUUGGCCGGGCGACGGUUGUCCCGGUUUAAGCGUGUAGGCUGGUUUUCCAGGCAAAUCCGGAAAAUCAAGGCUGAGGCGUGAUGACGAGGCACUACGGUGCUGAAGCAACAAAUGCCCUGCUUCCAGGAAAAGCCUCUAAGCAUCAGGUAACAUCAAAUCGUACCCCAAACCGACACAGGUGGUCAGGUAGAGAAUACCAAGGCGCUUGAGAGAACUCGGGUGAAGGAACUAGGCAAAAUGGUGCCGUAACUUCGGGAGAAGGCACGCUGAUAUGUAGGUGAAGUCCCUCGCGGAUGGAGCUGAAAUCAGUCGAAGAUACCAGCUGGCUGCAACUGUUUAUUAAAAACACAGCACUGUGCAAACACGAAAGUGGACGUAUACGGUGUGACGCCUGCCCGGUGCCGGAAGGUUAAUUGAUGGGGUUAGCCGCAAGGCGAAGCUCUUGAUCGAAGCCCCGGUAAACGGCGGCCGUAACUAUAACGGUCCUAAGGUAGCGAAAUUCCUUGUCGGGUAAGUUCCGACCUGCACGAAUGGCGUAAUGAUGGCCAGGCUGUCUCCACCCGAGACUCAGUGAAAUUGAACUCGCUGUGAAGAUGCAGUGUACCCGCGGCAAGACGGAAAGACCCCGUGAACCUUUACUAUAGCUUGACACUGAACAUUGAGCCUUGAUGUGUAGGAUAGGUGGGAGGCUUGGAAGUGUGGACGCCAGUCUGCAUGGAGCCGACCUUGAAAUACCACCCUUUAAUGUUUGAUGUUCUAACGUUGACCCGUAAUCCGGGUUGCGGACAGUGUCUGGUGGGUAGUUUGACUGGGGCGGUCUCCUCCUAAAGAGUAACGGAGGAGCACGAAGGUUGGCUAAUCCUGGUCGGACAUCAGGAGGUUAGUGCAAUGGCAUAAGCCAGCUUGACUGCGAGCGUGACGGCGCGAGCAGGUGCGAAAGCAGGUCAUAGUGAUCCGGUGGUUCUGAAUGGAAGGGCCAUCGCUCAACGGAUAAAAGGUACUCCGGGGAUAACAGGCUGAUACCGCCCAAGAGUUCAUAUCGACGGCGGUGUUUGGCACCUCGAUGUCGGCUCAUCACAUCCUGGGGCUGAAGUAGGUCCCAAGGGUAUGGCUGUUCGCCAUUUAAAGUGGUACGCGAGCUGGGUUUAGAACGUCGUGAGACAGUUCGGUCCCUAUCUGCCGUGGGCGCUGGAGAACUGAGGGGGGCUGCUCCUAGUACGAGAGGACCGGAGUGGACGCAUCACUGGUGUUCGGGUUGUCAUGCCAAUGGCACUGCCCGGUAGCUAAAUGCGGAAGAGAUAAGUGCUGAAAGCAUCUAAGCACGAAACUUGCCCCGAGAUGAGUUCUCCCUGACCCUUUAAGGGUCCUGAAGGAACGUUGAAGACGACGACGUUGAUAGGC